rnacentral:rRNA from 1 species
GCGCGAAAACUUUACAAUGCUGGCAACAGCGAUAAGGGAACCUCGAGUGCCAGGUUACAAAUCUGGCUGUCGAGAUGCCUAAAAAGCAUUUCAUAGCAAGGGCCGGGCAAGACCGGUGCCAGCCGCCGCGGUAACACCGGCGGCUCGAGUGGUAACCGUUAUUAUUUGGUCUAAAGGGUCUGUAGCCGGCCGGAUAAGUCUCUUGGGAAAUCUGGCAGCUCAACUGUCAGGCUUUCAGGAGAUACUGUCUGGCUCGAGGCCGGGAGAGGUGAGAGGUACUUCAGGAGUAGGGGUGAAAUCUUGUAAUCCUUGAAGGACCACCAGUGGCGAAGGCGUCUCACCAGAACGGACCUGACGGCAAGGGACGAAAGCUAGGGGCACGAACCG